AUGACGCCCCCAAAGGAGGAACGACACCCGAGCGCCGCCGUCAUCCGAUCAUCCGAUCUAGGGUUUCCCCCAGAGGUAGCAGAGAGUGGCCUUGAACUUCUCCACGGUGAUGCCUUCAAGAAGGGAACGACGCAGAUAGCGCCACCACCGCCGGCCUUAGCAGACGCGAAGGCAAAUUUUCACCCAGAUCAUUUUGAAGGGAUCCAACUCUCGUGCACGGGCCGCCGUCACCACCAGCACCACCAGGCAGAACCCUGGAGCACCGGUAGAUCAAUGAGCCGCCGGCACCACCGCAUCCAGAUCGCCGGCCACGCCGGGCCGCCGCCAUCCCUCGCGCCGUCCGGGUCAGAGACGGAGCCGCCGACCGCACACAGGGACCAUUGCCGCCUGCACACGCCGGAGCGCUGCCGAGAGCCCAGCGCCCGCCACCGCUUGCCGAGGGCCGCCGCCGCGCGCCCCGAGCGGACUCCCACGCACACCAGGGUAAACCGCGAGCGUGAGCCCUGCCGUCGACCCCAAGCCCGCGCCGGCGCGCCCCGCCUCCAGUGUGCCGCCAAAAACCGCCGCGAUCCGCCCGCGCCAGAUCCAGCGAGUCGUGGGAGAAGAGAUCCCGCCGCCGCCGACGCCGACCGGGCUUUGCCCGGCGGCGACGAGGAGAGGUCGGGGAGGGACAAGGACGCGGCGGCGCUAGGGUUCCCCCCAGUCGCCGCGCAGGGGCGACACGGGAGGAGUCAGAACUUUUUUCAACUAUGUGUUAACAUUUUCGGAUGGUACCAAACAUUUUUAAGCUCCACAAACAGUUUUAUACAUUGUAUAGGCAUUUAA
rnacentral:rRNA from 1 species